AUUGAACGCUGGCGGCAGGCCUAACACAUGCAAGUCGAGCGGAUGAAGGGAGCUUUCUCCUGGAUUCAGCUGCGGACGGGUGAGUAAUUCCUAGGAAUCUGCCUGGUAGUUGGGGAUAACGUCCGGACACGGGCGCUAAUACCGCAUACGUCCUGAGGUAGAAAGUGGGGGAUCUUCGGACCUCACGCUAUCAGAUGAGCCUAGGUCGGAUUAGCUAGUUGGUGGGGUAAAGGCCUACCAAGGCGACGAUCCGUAACUGGUCUGAGAGGAUGAUCAGUCACACUGGAACUGAGACACGGUCCAGACUCCUACGGGAGGCAGCAGUGGGGAAUAUUGGACAAUGGGCGAAAGCCUGAUCCAGCAAUGCCGCGUGUGUGAAGAAGGUCUUCGGAUUGUAAAGCACUUUAAGUUGGGAGGAAGGGCAGUAAGUUAAUACCUUGCUGUUUUGACGUUACCAAAAGAAUAAGCACCGGCUAACUUCGUG
rnacentral:rRNA from 1 species